AGUUGCGCCCGAAGCCAUUAGGCCGAGGGCACGUCUGCCUGGGUGUCACGCAACGUCGCYCCCUCCCCGCCGCCCCCGAGGCGGCGCGUCGGGCGGGGCGGACGAUGGCCUCCCGUGGGCGACUCGCCCCGCGGAUGGCCGAAAGWCGAGCCUGCGGCGUGGGCUGCCGCGACGGACGGUGGAAGAGCGAAACCUCGAGACCGGUCGCGCGCGAGUCCUCCCUUGGGGCAGGCUGCGAGACCCUUUAGCGUCGUCGCGUGUAGCGGGCGCUYACGAUGCGACCCCAGGUCAGGCGGGGCCACCCGCUGAGUUUAAGCAUAUCAAUAAGCGGAGGAAAAGAAACUAACCAGGAUUCCCUUAGUAACGGCGAGCGAACCGGGAAAAGCCCACCUUGAGAAUCGGUCGCCCCCGGCGUCCGAAUUGUA
rnacentral:rRNA from 1 species